rnacentral:rRNA from 1 species
GUGCCAGCAGCCGCGGUAAUACAGAGGGUGCGAGCGUUGUUCGGAAUUAUUGGGCGUAAAGCGCAUGUAGGUGGCCUGUUAAGUCGCGUGUGAAAGCUCCAGGCUCAACCUGGAAAGUGCGCGCGAAACUGGCGGGCUUGAGUGCCGGAGAGGGUGGCGGAAUUCCCGGUGUAGAGGUGAAAUUCGUUGAUAUCGGGAGGAACACCAGAGGCGAAGGCGGCCACCUGGACGGACACUGACACUGAGACGCGAAAGCGUGGGUAGCAAACAGGAUUAGAUACCUGGUAGUCC